CCUACGGGAGGCAGCAGUGGGGAAUAUUGCGCUAAUGCGGGAAACCGUGACGCAGCGACGCCGCGUGAGUGAUGAAGGCCUUAGGGUUGUAAAGCUCUUUUACCCGGGAUGAUAAUGACAGUACCGGGAGAAUAAGCUCCGGUUAACUCCGUGCCAGCAGCCGCGGUAAU
rnacentral:rRNA from 1 species